GAAGCAGGAGGAACAGUCGCGCUUUAGUGUGAGUCAUCCAUUGAAGUGAGGAAAGUCCGAGCUCCACAGAAUCAGGGCGCCCGGUAACGCCGGGGCGGAGUGAUCCGACGGUAAGGGCCACAGAAACCAUACCGCCCGCCGCUGGCGGGUAAGGGUGAAAUCGUGGUGUAAGAGACCACGGUCGUUUCCGGAGACGGAGGCGACGGGUAACCCCCGCCCGGAGCAAGGCCAAAUAGGGGAAGAGGAGUUGAUUCGCUCCGUUAUCAUUCCCGGGUAGGCCGCGUGGAAUGGUCGGGCAACCGAUCAUCAAGAUAAAUGGCUGUUGCCCUGUCUAAAACAGGGUACAGAACUCGGCUUAUUUCCUGCUUCCCGU
rnacentral:RNase_P_RNA from 1 species